CCCUUAGAUGUUCUGGGCCGCACGCGCGCUACACUGAUGAAUGCAACGAGCUCUACCCUUGACCGAAAGGCCCGGGUAAACUUGUGAAACUUCAUCGUGAUGGGGAUAGAUUAUUGCAAUUAUUAAUCUUCAACGAGGAAUUCCUAGUAAGCGCGAGUCAUCAGCUCGCGUUGAUUACGUCCCUGCCCUUUGUACACACCGCCCGUCGCUCCUACCGAUUGAAUGGUCCGGUGAAAUCUUCGGAUUGCUGACCAAGAUCCAGCAAUGGAGCUUGGUUGCGAGAAGUUGAUUAAACCUUAUUAUUUAGAGGAAGUAAAAGUCGUAACA
rnacentral:rRNA from 1 species